rfam:Schistosoma mansoni, Puerto Rico, WGS project CABG01000000 data, contig: 0199
AUCCAGCUGAUGAGUCUCAAAUAGGACGAAGCACGCGUCAAACUGGAU